CUCAGCUGCUCUUUCUGACUUUGGGGAGUCUUCACCCUCUGGUUGUGAUUUCCUUACUAGCUAAGCAAGUUCUGGCCUGAUAAGUACUUGGAUGGUAAAUCUCUAGGAAAGCAUAGAGGAAGCUGAGC
rnacentral:rRNA from 1 species